AUUGAACGCUGGCGGAAUGCUUUACACAUGCAAGUCGAGCGGCAGCGCGGGGGCAACCCUGGCGGCGAGCGGCGAACGGGUGAGUAACACAUCGGAACGUACCCUAUCGUGGGGGAUAACGAAUCGAAAGAUUCGCUAAUACCGCAUACGACCUGAGGGUGAAAGCGGGGGAUCGCAAGACCUCGCGCGAUUGGAGCGGCCGGGGUCGGAGUAGCUAGUUGGUGAGGUAAAGGCUCACCAAGGCGACGAUCCGUAGCUGGUCUGAGAGGACGACCAGCCAGAGUGGGACUGGGCCACGGCCCAGACGCCUCCGGGGGGCAGCAGUGGGGAAUUUGGGGCAAUGGGGGCAACCCUGAUCCAGCCAUUCCGCGUGAGUGAAGAAGGCCUUCGGGUUGUAAAGCUCUUUCGGCAGGAACGAAACGGUGGAGGCUAAUACCUUUCAUCAAUGACGGUACCUGAAGAAGAAGCACCGGCUAACUACGUGCCAGCAGCCGCCGUAAGAC
rnacentral:rRNA from 1 species